AGUGAACGCUGGCGGUAGGCCUAACACAUGCAAGUCGAACGGCAGCACAGUAAGAGCUUGCUCUUACGGGUGGCGAGUGGCGGACGGGUGAGGAAUACAUCGGAAUCUACUUUUUCGUGGGGGAUAACGUAGGGAAACUUACGCUAAUACCGCAUACUACCUACGGGUGAAAGCAGGGGAUCUUCGGACCUUGCGCGAUUGAAUGAGCCGGUGUCGGAUUAGCUAGUUGGCGGGGUAAAGGCCCACCAAGGCGGCGAUCCGUAGCUGGUCUGAGAGGAUGAUCAGGCACACUGGAACCGGAGAAAGGUCAAAGCUCCUAAGGGAAGGAGCAGUGGGGAAAAUUGGAAAAAGGGCGGAAAGCUGAACCAGGCAAACCGGGUGGGUGAAGAAGGCCUUCGGGUUGUAAAGGCCUUUUGUUGGGAAAAAAAAGCAGCAAGUUAAUACCCCGGUGUUCUGACGAUACCCAAAAAAUAAGCACCGGCUAAAGUCGUG
rnacentral:rRNA from 1 species